AUGACGACUAAGGAAGCACACAAC
rnacentral:siRNA from 1 species